UGAGAUUUGCAAAGGCAUGUAUAACAUCACAUUCCUACACAUAUAAAACUCGAAAUGCACAAGUACAAGAUGGGGAAUAAUAAGCGAGAAAGCAACACUUCCAGAAUGAUUUUAGAAUUCUAGCAGAUAAAAAACUGAACACGAGUUAGUGAUAUAGUGCUGUGGGGAAAUGGCCAUUGCCAUUUAGAUUGUAUCUAUGGACAGGUGACUGCGGAAGUAAUAGUACAGAUCUACUGAAAACUGGAAAGGGCUAAUUUGGGCUACUGUGGUGUGUGUCUCCUGCUUUCAGUUCUGAUUCAAUUUGUCUCCCAGGCAGUAAACAUGGAAGUAAUAGAUUUGAACAAGGGCUGGUCUUCACAUGGACAUUCAUCACUCGAUUGUAACAUCAAAUGCUGAAUUCCUUUGUGUAAAUCAACCAUCGUGCAUCAUCACAAAUAGAGUUGUCAACCUCUGUGGUGACAGUUCACAUGCUCAGUUCAGAGUCUUCACAUUAUUUAUUGCUCUAUCACAGGAAUGUCCAAUGUCUAUUCUAGGGGUCUAAUCCGGCCCCUGUGGCAGUUUAUUUAUCAGGGUCAAAUCCUAAAAAAAGCUCAACAAGUUUGGUCAUGCAUGUUUACUUCUUCAAAUCUGGUCCUCUUUGGAAAAAAUUGGGCACCCCUGCUCUAUCACAUCUGUAGGCCACCCAAGAUAUUUGAGACAGCAUAUAAAGAGUUAUUGUGCAUAUUAUCCUCAGAGCAAUCCUGCAAGGUAGGUUAGACCAAAAGAAAGUAAUUUUUCAGAGAACUUCACAGGCAAGCAAAGUUUUGAACCCUGUUCAUCCCAGAUUGCAAGAGAAACCCUGCAAAUGCUUUUGGGCAAUUUGAAAGUUUUGAAUAUAUAGAGCUAAGCCAAUUCAGAGUAUAACAUAAAUACAAAUUGAUGUGUGUGCAUUAAGUAUGUUUCAUGCUUACUAUCUGAUUUAUGCAGUGGCAUUAUUCUACUGUAGCAUGGCACAUAUUCUUGGAACAAACCCUCAUUAGUCCUCUGUGUGAAAGCAGAAUAUCAGUUCAUGUUAAUUCUCAAAUAAGCAUAAGUAUUUGUUACUGCCUUUGUUUUCUUGUCAGUACCACAAUAAGAUAUAAAUCACACGAGCUAACUAAGGUUUCUGCAAAGGUGGAUAUUUUUUAUUGCAUUUUUACUUAUAUCACUGUGAGAGAAGAACUACCUGCAUUUUUUGUAGUUUUGUUUCAUAUUAUAGAUAACAGUCAUUUCUAAGUUGUUUUCAAAUUGUUCUCAUCAGACCAUAUGAUCUGACUUUUACCCCCCUCUUCCAGCAUUAACUACUAGUGUUCAAGAAUUUCUUAAUUUGGACCCUUUGGGUUGAUGUAUGUACAGUACUGGGCAAAGAUGCCUAUUUGUAGAGGAAGGGGAUAGCAAGCAAAAAGAGGGGGCAUGCAGUAAAGCUAAGCAGCUAUUUCCAAAAUGUAAAGCAUUUUACUUUACUUUUUUUUUUUAAUGCCCUGCACGAUGGGACAAAAUACACAGUCCUUUGCCAUAUUGUCUUUGCAAAGCCUGUCUGUUUGGUCAUGCGCAGAAAGCAGCUAGGCAGUGAGAGUGGGAUGUAUUGACAAGAACAAGAUGAAUGACCCCCUGGAGACUGCGGGUUUGUAUGCUAGUUUCCACCACCUUUUCAUCCCUUUGUAACCCAUUUUGGUUCACAUGCAGAUUAAUUUUGACCAAGUCCUUACCAAAUGCUCUCUUCUUUUCCAGCCACUUAGCUUUGGAAGGUAGACUGGAGAAUCUAAAUAUUUAUGAGGUCUUCUCUCUCUCUCUCUCUCUCUCUCUCUCUCUCUCUCUCUCUCUCUCUCUCUCUGGUUUAUGAUGCACCGUUGUUGAAUGUAGAGGAAUUACGUUAAUGAAUGCAUGCCUGCACACACAGACACAGAAACCAGGCAAAGGGGGAAAACACACACAAAGCUUUGUCAGCUCUAAUGUCGGCUCUUACCAAACAGUUCCCAUGGAAAAAGAGAGAGAGAGGCAAACAGAUUCAAAAUCUUGCCAGGAGAAAAGGUUGUACAAAAGAUGAACAAAGUUGCUUCUUUGCUUUCCUUGGCUAUAAAAGUGCCUUGUUUCAUAUUGGGGCGGAGGGUGGGGGGAAGCCAAAAUGAAACACAUUCAUAUACAAAUUAAAAGUUUGUUUAAAAUGCUGUAACUGAUUUGAGCUGCUCAGUAGCACAGAGAGAAGUCCUAUAUUGUGCUUGGAUCAAUGCAACCCCGAAACAAAAAGUUAACAAAUGGCACAGAUCUUGUUUGCUUAUCUUCUUGCAUACUUUCUUUGUCUCUGAGGAUUUUGUAUACAAACAGAUAUCAACUGGACAGGAUUGUAUGACAUAUGGUGAAUGCUGAUGUUCUUUCUUCCCUUGUGCAAUGUUUGUGAAACUGGUCCAUGCUUGACUAAGACUGUCAUUCUGUAUAUACUUAGGAACAAGCCUCAUGGAACUCAAUGGGUCUUACUUCUGAGUAGACAUGCAUAGGAUUGGGCUAGAAGCUCAUGCUCUGGACACCUCCUGCCUUGACUACUGCAAGCCUCCUUUCUCAGACUUUCCCUUGUCGUGCAUCAAACCUCUCCCUGCCUCAGAACUCCACUGCCAAAAAUGAUAAACCUUUCUAGUCACUCAAACUAUAGAGCACUAUAUUUAACUAUAUUUAAGUUCAAAUACUUAAAUUGGCUUCCCAUAUAACUUAUGUCCACAACAAACACCUUCACCUGCAGUCCUGUCAGGCUCCCUGUGUGUAUUGUCAGGUAGAUGGGGAAGAACUUGCAGUUACUAGUCCUGUGUACACAGUUUCUCACCUGAAUCAAAUGGCUGGAGCUACUUAGUGGGAAACUACCCCCCCCCCCCCCCCCCAAAAAAAAUAGAAGGUAUUUUCUAAUUUGACAGCAUAACAUGUUUAAAUGAGGUCUUCUAUCUUUGUAUUUUAAUUUAAACAUUUAAUAUGGGUUCAAAACCAUAUUUUACAAUGAAAUCUGCAGAAUUUUACACACAGAUGAAUGCAUUUUAUUAAAAUACUGGAACUGAAAUAUAGACUGCUUUACUUUAUGGCAAAAGACUAAUAUUUUAAAUCUUUAAUUGUCACUGUCCUCCCUGCCUCCACCCUUUUUAUUCUCUGGCCUUCACAAACUUAAGCAGAAGGUGGUACAAAUUUUCUCUGUUUCCUUUCACAACAGAGCAGUAGGACAUGGAAUUUUAAAACAUGCUGUCUGUGUUAGCAUUUUAAAAAUGGUUAGGCAAUGGCAGAAUGUUUGCUUGUUCUUUGAAUACAAUAGGAUUUUUACUAUCUAACUCCUAUUUAUAUUUAUGUCUGUUGGGAUUUCAAAAGCAGUUACCC
rnacentral:lncRNA from 1 species